AGUGAACGCUGGCGGUAGGCCUAACACAUGCAAGUCGAACGGCAACACAGUAAGAGCUUGCUCUUACGGGUGGCGAGUGGCGGACGGGUGAGGAAUACAUCGGAAUCUACUUUUUCGUGGGGGAUAACGUAGGGAAACUUACGCUAAUACCGCAUACGACCUACGGGUGAAAGCAGGGGAUCUUCGGACCUUGCGCGAUUGAAUGAGCCGAUGUCGGAUUAGCUAGUUGGCGGGGUAAAGGCCCACCAAGGCGACGAUCCGUAGCUGGUCUGAGAGGAUGAUCAGCCACACUGGGACUGAGACACGGUCCAGACUCCUACGGGAGGCAGCAGUGGGGAAUAUUGGACAAUGGGCGCAAGCCUGAUCCAGCCAUACCGCGUGGGUGAAGAAGGCCUUCGGGUUGUAAAGCCCUUUUGUUGGGAAAGAAAAGCAGCAGGUUAAUACCCCGCUGUUCUGACGGUACCCAAAGAAUAAGCACCGGCUAACUUCGUG
rnacentral:rRNA from 1 species